CCCGACUGCUAUUUGGGUGAGGAUAAGCCAUGCGAGUUGUAUGGGAUACCUAAAUUUCCCAUGGCAAACUGCUUAGUAACACAUGAUCAACUUACCCUAUGGAGAAAAAUAACCUCGGGAAACUGAGGAUAAUGUUUCAUAGGUGAAUAGGCUUGGAAAAGUUUUUCAUCGAAAAGGAUAAGAAAAAUGGUUUUUAUCUGCCAUAGGAUAGGAUCGUGGUCGAUUAUGGUUGUUGGUGAGGUAACGGCUCACCAAGCCGACAAUCGAUAGGGGCCGUGAGAGCGGGAGCCCCAAGAUGGGUACUGAGACAGCGACCCAGGCCUUACGAGGCGCAGCAGGCGCGGAACCUCCGCAAUACACGAAAGUGUGACGGGGUUACCCAAAGUGUUCUUUUAAGAACUGUGGUAGGUGAGUAAUAUCCCCUACUAGAAAGGAGAGGGCAAGGCUGGUGCCAGCCGCCGCGGUAAAACCAGCUCUUCAAGUGGUCGGGAUAAUUAUUGGGCUUAAAGUGUCCGUAGCCGGUUUAGUAAGUUCCUGGUAAAAUCGGGUAGCUUAACUAUCCGCAUGCUAGGAAUACUGCUAUACUAGAGGGCGGGAGAGGUCUGAGGUACUACAGGGGUAGGGGUGAAAUCUUAUAAUCCUUGUAGGACCACCAGUGGCGAAGGCGUCAGACUGGAACGCGCCUGACGGUGAGGGACGAAAGCCAGGGGAGCGAACCGGAUUAGAUACGUUGGUGUUAUUUGAAUGUAAUGUAAGAAUUACUAACACAAUGCUAAAAACCCGGGUAGUCCUGGCCGUAAACGAUGCAUACUAGGUGAUGAUACGGCCAUGAGCCGUGUCAGUGCCGUAGGGAAACCGUUAAGUGUGCCGCCUGGGAAGUACGGUCGCAAGGCUAAAACU
rnacentral:rRNA from 1 species